rnacentral:rRNA from 1 species
CCUACGGGUGGCAGCAGUGAGGAAUAUUGGUCAAUGGGCGCGAGCCUGAACCAGCCAAGUAGCGUGAAGGAUGACUGCUCUACGGGUUGUAAACCUCUUUUAUAAGGGCAUAAAGUGAGGCACGUGUGCCUUUUUGUAUGUACUUUAUGAAUAAGGAUCGGCUAACUCCGUGCCAGCAGCCGCGGUAAUACGGAGGAUCCGAGCGUUAUCCGGCUUUAUUGGGGUUAAAGGGAGCGUAGACGGGGUGUUAAGUCAGUUGUGAAAGUUUGUGGCUCAAACGUAAAAUUGCAGUUGAUACUGGCAGUCUUGAGUACAGUUGAGGUAGGCGGAAUUCGUGGUGUAGCGGUGAAAUGCUUAGAGAUCACGAAGAACUCCGAUUGCGAAGGCAGCCUGCUAAACUGCCACUGACACUGAUGCUCGAAAGCGUGGGGAUCAAACAGGAUUAGAUACCCGUGUAGUC